UUGAACAGCUUCUAAGAGCGCUUUUACAUAACAACCAUGACUGAUUUGGGUCCCUGAUGAAGUGAGGAACCCUCUUUGUUUCCAGGUUUGUCCAAAAUCAUGAACAACACCAAAAGCAUACUUAGAGUCAGUAUAAAUGGUUCUGGUUUGAUUUUUUGCAAGAAUGCAAGCACGUGUUAAAGCAAUGAGUUCAGCAACUUGAGCAGAACGAGCUUGGGGUGAAGAAUAGGCUUCCAAAACGGCAUACUGAGUGCAUACUGCAUAUCUCGCAACUAUUUUGCCUGCAUCAUUUCUAAGACAGGAACUAUCAACAAACAAAACAAGGUCAGAGUUUGGGAUAGGAAUGUCUUUCAGGUUAAUUCGAGGGGUUAACAACUGAGUUGUGACAGACAGGUAAUUAUGAGGCUCACCAUCAGAGGCGAUUGGCAGAAGUGACGCAGAAUUUAGAAUUGAACAGCGAUUUAAGGUUACAUUUGCAGCUGACAGUAAAAGUUUCCUCUAUUUAGUAAGACGGGAAUUGGAAAUGUGCUGAGUUUUGCCCUUGAGGAGAAGGGCCAUCACAGCAUGUGGAACUGCAACGGUUAAAGAGUGUCUCAAAACUAGAGAAUUUGCCUUUUCAACCAACAAGGCAGCAGCUGCAAGUGAAUGGAGGCAAGGAGGAAGUCCCACAGCCACGGGAUCAAGGGCAGAGCUGUAAUACACAAUUGGGCAAUGCUUUUCACCAUGCAGCUGAGUUCAAGAGCGGUUUGUGGCUGAUGGAAAUGACAGACUCAAGCUGAUUGUGUUACUGUGUAGUGAGGAUGAUGAGACGGUCCAGAAAGCAGCUGCGGGAGCUUUGGCCAUGCUGACAGCAGCACAGAAGAAACUCUGCUAUAAAAUGACUCAAGUGACAAUUCAGUGGCUGGAAAUCCUGCAGAGGCUCUGCUUGCAGGACAGUGUGGAUGUUCAGCACCGUGGGCUGGUUGUUGCUUACAACCUAAUCAGCGCUGACAAAGAACUCGCCAAAAAGUUGGUAGAGAGUGAGCUCCUGGAGAUCCUGACAGUCGUUGGCAAACAAAAAGAUGACCCCAAAAUAUAGCAUGCUCUUGACGCAGCUCGUGAGUGCCUUGUGAAGUGCAUGGACUAUGGGCUGAUCAAACCGCUUUCACGGGCAUGAGGACAUCAUUGUCUAUUGAGAAACGGCAAGGAAAGGGAGGCCACCAGGAGGUCUGGAAGUCUUCCAGAUCUGCAUAAGGACACUCAGUCCCAUGGCCAAGGCUUUACUGAGCACUGGCUUUGUGUGUUUUGUCCUGAAAGAAGGUAAAACUUAAUGAUAUCUAGGUACUGCAAAUACCUUCAGUGCCAGGAUGCAGCAAAUUUCCACUGAAAGAAGCAAUAUGGGAAGCACAUUGAACAGCUGCUGCUUCAGGAAGUCUCAAAAAGGAUAAAGAGAAUGAGUGGACUGUUUUCACAAAUGAAAAUUCUUUAUUUCAGCAAUUCCUAGCAGUGGAAGAACAAGCACAAGGUUUUAUUUCCUCACAUCAGAUGUUCAGAAACUAGUUCAGAUUUGUUAUUUAAAAAUGAUUGUUUCUUCUUUUGAAUUGGAAUGCAGGCAUUUAGCGUGCGAGAGCACUGGGUGGAUUCAUAAUAAACAGCAUCUUUGCUCUGUG